GGCAGAGCGGUUAUGCAACCGCCUUUUAAGCGGAGAGAUCCAGGUUCAACCCCUGGGCGACCCA
rnacentral:tRNA from 1 species